GUAGGCAUAGUUUAAACAAAACGUUAGAUUGUGAUUCUAAAAAUAGAGGUUAAAGUCUUCUUGCUCACC
rnacentral:tRNA from 1 species